AAAAAUCGUAACAAGGUUUCCGUAGGUGAACCUGCGGAAGGAUCAUUACAGAGUUCAUGCCCGAAAGGGUAGACCUCCCACCCUUGUGUAUUAUUACUUUGUUGCUUUGGCGAGCUGCCUUUGGGCCUUGUAUGCUCGCCAGAGAAUACCAAAACUCUUUUUAUUAAUGUCGUCUGAGUACUAUAUAAUAGUUAAAACUUUCAACAACGGAUCUCUUGGUUCUGGCAUCGAUGAAGAACGCAGCGAAAUGCGAUAAGUAAUGUGAAUUGCAGAAUUCAGUGAAUCAUCGAAUCUUUGAACGCACAUUGCGCCCCUUGGUAUUCCGGGGGGCAUGCCUGUUCGAGCGUCAUUUCAACCCUCAAGCUUAGCUUGGUAUUGAGUCUAUGUCAGUAAUGGCAGGCUCUAAAAUCAGUGGCGGCGCCGCUGGGUCCUGAACGUAGUAAUAUCUCUCGUUACAGGUUCUCGGUGUGCUUCUGCCAAAACCCAAAUUUUUCUAUGGUGA
rnacentral:rRNA from 1 species